CUGAGCCACCUGACAGUAAGAAGCAUUUUAAAGACAGACAUGACAGACAAGCUCACUCAUCUGGGAACUAGAUAAACAUUGAGAACAGAAACUCAGCCUGGAUGGCCAUAAGACCAGGGAGGACAAAGAGUGGAAGUCAAGUGUAACCAUUUUUGAAGAUGCUGUCCAUGUGGCCUUCUACCAGAAGAUAGAUUAUCUCAUAGAGCAAGAGAAGGGGUUUCUGUUGGAUAUCUCAGACAUCUUUCUUCAGUCUUCUAGAAAACCUGCCAACUCUGUCAUGGAAGAUAAAACAUCUUCACUGAUCCUUGAACAAGAAGAACAUGGGUGUGAAGAUAUUGAGCUUGACAACACGUAGCACAAUUUUUU